AAUCAACGCUGGCGGCGUGCCUCAGACAUGCAAGUCGAACGAUUAAAGCUCUCUUCGGAGAGUGUAUAGAGUGGCGCACGGGUGAGUAACACGUAAGUAAUCUACCUUCGAGUGGGGAAUAACGUCCGGAAACGGACGCUAAUACCGCAUAAUGCAGCGGCAUCGCAAGAUGACAGUUGUUAAAGAUUUAUCGCUUGAAGAGGAGCUUGCGGCAGAUUAGCUAGUUGGUAAGGUAAUGGCUUACCAAGGCUACGAUCUGUAACCGGUCUAAGAGGACGGUCGGUCACACUGACACUGAAUAACGGGUCAGACUCCCACGGGAGGCAGCAGUCGGGAAUUUUGGGCAAUGGGCGAAAGCCUGACCCAGCAACGCCGCGUGAAGGAUGAAGUAUUUCGGUAUGUAAACUUCGAAAGAAUAGGAAGAAUAAAUGACGGUACUAUUUAUAAGGUCCGGCUAACUACGUGCCAGCAGCCGCAGUAAGAC
rnacentral:rRNA from 1 species